GUGAACCAGAGGAUCCCGAUUAUUCAGCAUCGACGAGAUUUGCAAUCGACAUUCUCUUCCUUUCGCCGCUCAUUAUAUUGCGCCGCUUUAACCGCACGGAUCUCCUCCUCUUCGUCACGGGUUCGUUUCUCCGAAAAGGAGGAAAACGAGGUAGAGAGAUGGCGAGAACAGAGAAGCAUGGCGUAGUGCAAGCUGGCGAAGGUGGAUAGGGAAGGCGCAUCACCGUGCCGCGACCGCCACAGACCACUACCACCCCCACCAAUUAACCGUCCUUCUCCUCCCAAGUCACGAAGCCGCUGGAAACAAGAGAUACGCCUGGGGUACAGAGAGGGAGAGAGUAAAGUCAGAUUGCACAGUCUGCGAAAGCGGGAGACACGCGGGGACUUGAGACAAAUCCGUGUAAUUGGUAUUAAACAAAGGAAAGGAAAGAAAGUUGCAUGAAGAGGACGGAGAGAAAGCAAAUUUCAGAGAAAGGAGAGAAAGAGAGAGAGAGAGAGAGAGAGAAAGAAAAAACUAAGAUAAAAGGGGAAGAAAUGGUCGUUAGGUACUGUACAAACCUCGGCUCCACCUAAAGUGGCGUUUUCCACCUCGAUGAUAUUUCAAAGACGCGAAACAGUUUUUAUAUAUUCGGUCGGUAAGGUAAAAACGCCGAAACGAUCUCUCGUGGAAAUCACCGGCAGAUUAAUUUCUCUUCAUUAGAGGGAGAGAUUCCCCUCAUCUCGUAGCCUCGUCGAGUACUCAGGAUAUCGAUACUUUAAUAACGCUCUUCUCCACUUCACGAGUUCAGAGUUCAAUUGCCUUUUUUGUCAUUAAUUGUCGUUUCACGAUGGCGUCCGCUAGAGAGCGCUGUGAAAAGCACUCGAAACGCGCACAGGGAAUCCCUGCUGGAGCACCGGGGCACAAAGUCAGCCUCCGUUUGAUCGUUUACUUGUCGUUUUCGCAUCACUUGAUAGGCAAUUGUUUCGACAAACUUGGGGUGCAGCGUUUUUUCUUUGUAACCAGCCUCCUCUGGUCUCGUUCCCGCGCAUACGGCCUUUCGUUUAAUCCCUUCAUGUAAAUGCAACAGAGAAUUCUUUUUAAGCCGUAUUUACGCGCUUUACAUAUUUCACCUUCUGCAAACGUUUCAGGCGGGCUUGGCAAUCGCGUUUGGUACACACACCGACACGGUGAUCUCAAAUCGUUGUCGAAUGUCGAGAAAACGAACCGCACUUUUUCUCAGGCUUGUGUCGUCGUCGAUUCCCCUCCUUAUCUACCGACCCUGCCACCACCAAUGCCACAGGGGGCUCUACGACCGAUGAUAAACACUGUAGCAUCGGUAGCUGGAUGCACGCUUUUUUGUCGGCUGCUCUCCCGCGUAUUUUGCACGCUUAAAAAGUUUCAGCUCUGCUAUAUAACGAGCUUAAGACCUCGCGCGGUUAACGAGCAAUGAUUUACCACGUUCCCUGCCAUAUGGCAACUACCAAUACAUACACGCACACGAAUGAACACUUGCACGUCUGAAUACAAACGAUUCGUGUGCGCGUUCGAGAGCGGCGACUGUAUAAAUCACGGCCGGCGUACAGGCCUAAUAUAAUCGCGCCUAAUAAAGUUGGCAGCCACUAAAUUUUCUUAACUCGGCCCCCUCCCCUUACUCCGAUUCGACGAUGUAAUUCUCCAACGAGCAUGCACGCUCCGCGCUCUCUAGGAAUUUGCUGCAGUCGAUUCCAACUGAAACACGAUGGAAAGUUUAGAAACAGGUGGAAGUUAAGAUGUUCGUGAGCACUGUACAAUUACUCGUUAAAGAAACUUUCUAUAACUAACUAUAAGUUCCAAAAAUUCCAUCCAAAUAUGACCAAAUCGUAUACUUUCAGGAAAUAUGGGACCCGGGUACAUCCACUAAAUAACGUCAUCAUUGACCAGUCUAGAGGUAUCGUCCAAUAUGGCCGACGACAGAAGUGGAAGGGAGAUAGAAGAAAGAAAAAUUGGAUUUCAUGGUCGAAGAAUAUCGAAUGGCCAGAAAUAAAUCGUUUCCCAAGCAAGAACCGCUUUUCGAAGGACGACUUAGUUAAGGGACUGAACUCGUGUUUGGCUCGGCACUAGCCCAACCAUGUAUUUACAUGAGAGAUUUACGGUACGCUGCUACCGAUCCCUACCAUGUAUAUUCUCGGUGCAUUAGCGUUCGAACGGCUGGAGAACGUCGCCAGCAGAAGCGACUAGUUUGACCUUUGGACCGGGUUCCUUUCCCUCGGCGCUGCAUCUGCAAAGCAAACUCCCCAGGGGCCACGCGAUUACGUUUUCUUCCAUUUUCAUCAAUUUGACGAGCUCUUGCCCAUAAUUCGUAUCUCUCUCUCGCUUUCGAGCUUUCCGCAUUUCCCGCACGGUGUCACUGCUUUGCCGCGAGAUAAAUUUCAUACAGCCAAUUAUCCACGGAGAGAUUCGGUAUUAGAAUGAUUAGCUAACAGCCUAUCUAUAUACGAUUUGUGCUAUGAUAUGCCUCGCGAGAAGAAGAAACGAUAGGUUAUGAGGCACAUUUCUCGUUACGGACCAUCCAGGGUAUUUCGUCUGAUUAAUUCAACAAACCCGUCCUCGAAUUUAAUCCUGCCACGGUAUGCAUUUCACAGUGUCGCUGUCCAUGAAAAAAGUGACAGCCAUGAUAUUAAUAUUAUUCGAGGGAGAUAAACGCAAAGGGCAACCGCCAUUAUGUGGACGCAUAUGUGUACGCCGACUGUCAGCCACCUAUCGAUCAUCGCCACAAUUAUCGGCGAGCCAAGAGCAAUACGGGAUUCGUCGAGAUCGAGAAAUGACGCCAUUGAAGCGGUUGGUAUAUCAAUAUCUACUAAAAAUUAAUGCACUUUCUUUUUAUUUUUAAAGAUUCUUCGAUUCCUCCUCUGCCAGUUAUCUCCUCACUGAUGAUUUUUUUAACGACCAUGAUUUUUUUUCGUUUUUAAUAACCAAACAUUUCACGACUAUCUCGCCGUCACACUAUCAAAAAGCUUCCACAUGAGAACACACUGUCCUGAAUUCGAAGGACCUAUCAACACUAAUAACGAUACGUGACCAUCAAAGACGCUAGAUCCCCUCGCCGGAUCAUCGAGUUGCAAAAAAGGAAUAAAGUAAAAGCGAGCAAUUAAAAGCCAACAAGUCAGGCCUCUUGUCCCUCUAUGCUUCGGACCCCGUUCAACCCACCCUCCUCUUACAAACCCUUUCAAACCUUUGCAUCAUCGUCCAAUCAAGGUAACCGCGUUUCAACUGUCGACUGUUUACGUGUGCGCGCACGCACGCACAUAUAGGCACACAGAUCAGACAGACUGUGCGUUGUGUAUACUAUCCGUUGAGAACCUUCCCUUGUUAGGAGUCAUUCAAACAUUUGCCAUAUCACGAUCAUUCCGAGGCAUUUCUUGCUGACUAGAACUAGAAAGACGGUCUUAUUGAGCAGUUGUUCUUGUUUUCCUCUUGUGUGCCACAAGAAUUAAUUUCGAAACCGUGAACGGUCACCUUUUCUUCAGUUGCUCUGAAGUUUGUCCAAGUUUCUGCGUAUGAGAGCCGUGAUUUAGCAUAGUGAUUCUCAAGAAUGAAUUUUGGUAUAGAGAGACUGGAAUGUGAAGACAUUAUACCCGAUGAAAAAGAAAUUUAAACUAUGACGUAACCGGUAACCACGAUAUUUCUGUAUGUCUGCACGAAUUCGCAAUUCCUAUGGAUGAUGUGGGCUCCAUGAUAUUCAUGCGAAGGCAGCAUUUACGAGAUGCGAUUCUAAAAACGCGUCCACCAAGCCUCGAGCUCAUUCAAAACAGUUACACGUCGCACAAAGACCCUGAUGGGAAGGCAAAAAGACAUCGGACAGGCUCUGAAGACUUCCUUGGAAUACCAGCGACACACUUUGAAAGGGCGCCAUCUAGAAGACACGUUUGUGCGUCUGAAGUUUCUUCUGAAAACAAGAUCGAGAUAACCUCAAAGCCGACAGAGGUCGACGGGAUGCGCAUCGAUUGAAAAUCGAAACGUCAUUCUCGUCGGGUUGCGUUGUUCUGACAUGAGCAGCGGACUUGGGGUAACCUACCGCCUCGAAUUAGCGACCCGUUCGCCUCCUCUGCCUUGGAUGAGCAUGUUUUCUCGAUUAUCCCAUGAAGAACCCCUCGCAUUGCCCGCGGUCCUCUCUGUUGAAUAUCAAACGAGGCAUACAGGUGAAAGUAUAGAGUAAGAGAGAGAUGCUCGGUGCCUUAGUCAUCCUAGACGUAUUGUUGGACCAUCAACGGAGAGAGAGUAGGUAGAACAAUGCCGCCAUGCGUCACGACGCCUGGACGUCUGCAGUGAAUGCAGCUAUGUGGAGAAUAAUUAUCGUUGUUUGCACUUCGUUUUCCUGUCCGUCGUUGGGACGUUAAUAUUUUUCGGCCUUAAUUGAUGCGCCGAUAAUGGCACGUGGGCUCCACGGAAUGGACGCUUGUUUAGUCGGGACCGUGGUCGGCUCCCAUUUAUAUAGAUGGAAAGGGAGAUGAAGGUGGAUACAUACACGCAUACACAGCACGCUGACGCUCAGUUCAACGUCAAUGAGCAGUACACAAUGGACAAUAAUGUAUUCCUUCUGGCAUGGUGUCAUUCCCUUUUGUUGUCAAUGUAAGACGAAUGAAUUUUGAACCGAGGAAUGUGACUUAUGUUUGAUCAUAUUUACCCAGUAAGUGU